CUGGAAACGGUGGCUAAUACCGCAUAAUGUCUACGGACCAAAGCAGGGGCUCUUCGGACCUUGCACUAUCGGAUGAACCCAUAUGGGAUUAGCUAGUAGGUGGGGUAAAGGCUCACCUAGGCGACGAUCUCUAGCUGGUCUGAGAGGAUGAUCAGCCACACUGGGACUGAGACACGGCCCANACUCCUACGGGAGGCAGCAGNGGGGAAUAUUGCACAAUGGGCGCAAGCCUGAUGCAGCCAUGCCGCGUGUAUGAANAAGGCCUUAGGGUUGUAAAGUACUUUCAGCGGGGAGGAAGGUGAUAAGGUUAAUACCCUUNUCAAUUGACGUUACCCGCANAAGA
rnacentral:rRNA from 1 species